CCCUGACUAACACAGAUGGACAUUUAGGUGUUUAGGUGUGUGGAAUUGGGGCAGGGAAAAGAACUGUGAGCAGGAGCUGGAGAGGCGUGGACGGAGCUGUAGUGAUCUGGAGGCUCUGGAGCAGAAGAUCACCAUAGGGAGGGAAGUGGUGGGGUGGAGACCGCCCUGGACAGGAAGCUGGGGCCAGCAUGUGGAGGGCAGGGAACGCCAGAAUAAGGGUUUUAGGAACUCUCAUUGUCUUAGGAAGUAGAAGAUCCUUGAGUGACAAGGGUAAGACAACAGGGUCCACUCCCCAUCAAAGGCCUCCGAUGCUUCUCUUUCAGCAGGAAAUCAACAUUCAAGGGGAGACCCAAUGAAGAAGAUAGUGCCAGAACUUAAUGGAGGCAGCCCAAGAGGAACGUGUACCUGGGGAAGUCAAGAGCUAUUUCUUGGACAUUUGUGCCUCUAUUCCAAACUCUUCUCUCAGAGUAGAUGACAACUCAGGAAGGAGCCAGAGAUCUUCCUCAGUUGACUUGUUCAGAAAUAUGAUUUGGGAUUCAGUCUGGCCCGAAGCCAUGCUUCCAGCCUCAUCUCCACUGUGCACUUUCCAUGGCGUUCUGUCUUGGUCCACUUGGCUUGUGUAGCUGCCUGGCCUGGGUUGUCCUCCCCACCCUUGUCUGCUUGGUGGCACUUGGCCCUGUUCUAAUUGCUUCUGCUCGGGCAGCUUCUCUCCUCCCUCCUCUGUGCUCUGAGCACACUGGACAGAUUCCUGUUAGAGCUGUCACUGUCUUCCUGCUGUCUGCCCACUGACCUUGGAGCUCCAGGAGGACAGGAGCCUUAUCUUACCCCAUGACAUGGCCUAUGCCCAGCCUGGUGCCAACGUGGUCUGGAGGUAUCUGUAGGCUGAAUGAAAUUCUUCCCUCUGGGAUGCCCUUUAAAGUUGUUUUCUUUCUGGAACCUGGGGCAGUGACUGGAAUGGUUGGAAUGUGGCCUUGGUUUGCCAUUGGGUGUUUUGUUCCUCCGAGCAUUGGCUGGACUCUCUGGUGAUUUCUGGUCUUGAAGGACUUCCUGUUUUAAAUGUCUGUGGGGUUGUGGUUCCCGAGCUGCUGCACUGUCUCCCAUAACCUUUCUCUCUAUCCUGGCCUGGUCUCUCUUCCACACCAGAACUUUCCUCUAGAUCAAUGGUCCAGGACCAUCAGAACCAGUGAACCACACUCCUGACCAUUCUCCAAAUAGUCAUUUGGCCAAAUACGAGCUGUGACAAGGCUGCCUGAGGCUUUUGGUCAGAAAAAGAUGCCAGCUUUAAAAAAUCUCUGCAGAAGUUUUCUCAGAAGAAUCGCAGAAUCUUGGAGCAGGAAGAAGCUUCCAGAAGACUUAAUUUUAUCCAAUUUCUUCACGGCGGAUGAAGGCACACGGAGCCCACAGUAUGGAAAGAGUGUGCCUCAGGAAACAGAGCUGAACACUUGCUCUUUUCAUGUUUUCCUCUUUUAUCUGGACCUUGGCCCCCCGGGUAGGAGGCACCUGGGGCUGGCUGAGGCACAGGAUGAGUGGAGAGGAAGGCUCUGUGGGAGCCACUCCCAUAGCCCAGAUUUAGCAGAGAUUCCGUUCGGAAGGAUUCUGGCGAAACAGCGUGAGUUGACAACUCUGCUUCUGAAUAGUACAUUAUUUAUUCAGUGCCAGCCACGAGCCCGGCAGGUGAUGAGCUAAACUAAACUUGCUGGCACACACACGCAGAACUCAGGAACAGCAGAGUGAUGGCAGCCUCAUCUCAAAGUGGCUCCUUCAAGGAGGAGGACUAAGAGUGUUAAG
rnacentral:lncRNA from 1 species